rnacentral:rRNA from 1 species
UACGUAGGGACCAAGCGUUGUCCGGAAUCAUUGGGCGUAAAGAGCGUGUAGGCGGUUCGGUAAGUCUGCCGUGAAAUCCUGGGGCUCAACCCCGGGCGUGCGGUGGAUACUGCCGGGCUAGAGGGUGGUAGAGGCGAGUGGAAUUCCCGGUGUAGCGGUGAAAUGCGUAGAUAUCUGGAGGAACACCGGUGGCGAAGGCGGCGUCCUGGACCAAUACUGACACUGAUGAGCGAAAGCCAGGGGAGCAAACGGG